rnacentral:rRNA from 1 species
GACGAACGCUGGCGGCGUGCUUAACACAUGCAAGUCGAACGGAAAGGCCCUGCUUUUGUGGGGUGCUCGAGUGGCGAACGGGUGAGUAACACGUGAGUAACCUGCCCUUGACUUUGGGAUAACUUCAGGAAACUGGGGCUAAUACCGGAUAGGAGCUCCUGCUGCAUGGUGGGGGUUGGAAAGUUUCGGCGGUUGGGGAUGGACUCGCGGCUUAUCAGCUUGUUGGUGGGGUAGUGGCUUACCAAGGCUUUGACGGGUAGCCGGCCUGAGAGGGUGACCGGCCACAUUGGGACUGAGAUACGGACCAGACUCCUACGGGAGGCAGCAGUGGGGAAUAUUGCACAAUGGGCGGAAGCCUGAUGCAGCAACGCCGCGUGCGGGAUGACGGCCUUCGGGUUGUAAACCGCUUUCGCCUGUGACGAAGCGUGAGUGAUGGUAAUGGGUAAAGAAGCACCGGCUAACUACGUG